rnacentral:lncRNA from 1 species
GAAUACCUCCGCUGAGGAAGCAUCCGAGUUUGGAAAUCCUGCUUAAGGAUGGAACCGAGGGGAUCUCCUUCGACGGAAAAUGUCAGCGACUCCUACCACCUCCACGCUUUUUCACUGUUUUCGUUUUCUCGAAGGAAGCGCCCGAAGCUGCUGGGGUACUUGUAACUAAGGAGAGAGGAGAAAGCUGCGGCUGACUGCUCCGGGGACUUGCCGCGGCGUUUCCGUGGCUCUGGUUUCUCUUCCACGCUGCCGGCAGCUGACCGCGAUCUCGUAGGAGGGUCGCCUGGGCCGCCAGGCCCGCUCCAACGGGACAGGGACCGGGCGACGCGGAGCGGCAGCGGCGGCCUGCGCCGCACCACUUGUGCAGCGAGACUUUUCGGUAGUUUUUAAAUGCCAGAGUCCACAGCUCCGCCGGUUCCUCUCGCCAAGAGUCGCGGGUUUGGGGAGCUCCAAAUGUCCCUGCUCCGGGGACUCGCAGUCGGCCGGGAGUCCGGUUGCCGGAAGCUGGUUGCCCAGAGCCGGCGGUACUCAAGGAUUCCCGCAGCCCCGGCGCGCAGUGUGGUCGCCGUCGGGACCCGGGCCCUGGUUGGUGCUGAUGGGGCAGGAGUGGGAACGAAGAGCUGUAGCCAAAACUCAUCCAGGAACUUACGGAACAUCUGGUCCUCAUGUAUGGAACCCUGUACAGAAUAACAUCGACCACAGGCCCCACUCCACAGGAGAGCCAUUGAUUUGUUGCCACCCCCUCUUUAUUGAUGAACACCAUGGGGUGGAAAACAUCACCGACACAGGAUGUCCUGGUGGCCGAGCCACUCUUCAUCCUGGACGUGAAAGAUGCUGCCUGCCAAGCAGAACUGACCUGGAGGCGAGGGGGUUGCAGCAUGAACAGGACUCCGUUGAAGCAUCCCCUCUUCUGGAAGGAUGUCCUUGACCACUGGAACUAGGGUAGCUCACUCCGCCCAGAUAGACUUUCAUCACAUCACCUGUUUUCUUUUCUUCAUCAUUUUUGGAAAUUACUUACUUUUUUUGGACUGGUUUAUUUUCUUAUUCCAACACAUACAACUGUAUCUGAUAUGUAGUAGAUGCUUAUUAAAUAUUUGUUAAAGAAAAAAAAAGAAGUAAGGAAUAUUACUAAUUGCUUGAUGCUAAAGAAAAUGUUCUUUAUCAACUAUAAUGGAAAAAAUUAAAAUCAUAAAAAAACAGAAAAACCUACAUCAUGACAUACACCUACAUACACAAGCAAAUAUAUUUCUUUUCACAUGAGUACAAUGUCAAAAAAAAAAAAGAAAAUGGUCUUUAAUAAACAUCUGGAAUU